AGUCAAGAGCCUGUACUUGCAGUCUUCCUUUUGAAUCAAGCUGCAGUUCUGCAGAGCUUAUGGACAGUCCAUUUCUCCAAUUGCUGGAGACUUUGCCACACUCGUUUCUUGCCUUCUGGGUCUCAGCUUUCCCAGAAGAACUUUCAAGAGAAAAAAAAAUGGCUGAUUAGGCUUUGCAUCUCCUUCUGCCGAGACUAUUUUGCAUCUGACCUGACAAGGGCACCAACAUUAUUUCCCUUUUGCAUAAAGUUUAGGAAUUUUUUGUUUUUUCCAGGACCUGUGGAAGCUUGGAACAUUGUAAUUCUUGCUCCUUGUUCUCAAGCUUGUAAAGUUUGCAGAGAAGACACUUCAUAAUCAUCUUCACUUCCUUUACCGAAAGUGGAGAGUAAAAUUGCAGAGCUGAUGAAAUAUGCUUACACCCAAAUAAUACAUACAAGAAUGGUGAUAUUUGGUGCAUGAAGAAGCCUUGGUGAUUAUCCAGUAAAAACUCCAGAAAAUUCAUAGAAGAAUUUUAGAACAUCUCUGAUUGAUAGCUAUCCAACCUCUGCUUCAAUGGAAAAUCAAAGCCUUUGAAAAACUCCAGUCACCAUAUUCUGAGGAUGCAUCCAAACACUGACUGGCCAUCUGCCAUGGACAUGUUAUAUGGAUUCUUUCACUAAGCAAUGGACUCUUUUCAAAUGGAGGAGUUCUAGAAGGAUAUUUCACCAUUCAGUUUUAUUAGCUGAAUAUGGACCAAGCACAGCCUCAGCCUGAGGCUCUCCGGAUAUGUACAUUUCAGUUUCCAAAAUCCUUGGCAAAUAUGAUUAUUUUGAAAUUUCUGAAAGACAAAUAAUUUGGAGGUGGAUCAUAAUGUGGAGAACCUUCUUCUAUCAACCUAGUUUACAUCAUGCUAAAUAUUCUACAGUAUUUCCUCUAGCAUUUCCCCAAAUACCUUACUCUUUUAUCUGAAGAACUCUAAAUAUUGUAACUUUCUCACCGAUGUUGCUUUGUUACACUCAGAUGCCAAAUAUUGCGAUUAGUUACAUAACAUGCUUAGCCUCUUUCUCAAAUUAUCCAAUUUGUGUGCAUAAUACAUAGAACUAUUAACUCACAAGACAGUCCAGUAUUCACAGAACGUACUAAAUCGUAUGUUUAUUACUGGCCUAGUUAAGCACGUUGGUGAUAAUUAUAGGAGUUCAAGAAUUUACUCUCAAUUGACAUUAUUCCUUCUUUUGUACAGAUUUCUUUUGCUGUCUCUGUUUUAGCAAUUAAGUAAUUUUGCACCAUGUUCUGUCCUCAUUACAUUUUUAUUAUAAAGAAUUAAUAUAUUUUACCAUUUACUGUUCUGGUGAAAUCAGGAGAGAAACCGUGAGAAUGAAUAUAUUUUGUUCCACUUGUCCUCAUUAUAAUUUUAAGGUAUUCUCAAGAAUGGAUUAACUCAAUGCCACUUUUCCCUUUUUAUCAUAAGAAUGAAAGCUAAAAUAGUUAUGAAACUCCGCCAGGCAUUUGUAUGAAACUAUUCUCAGCUCACAAUGAAGCUGCAUCAAAAAAGGGAUGAGGAUGAGAUGAAUAUUUAAAAUGUUAUAUGUAGUUGUAUAAAUUUAUAUUAAAAGAUUGGAUGCCUUUGAGACAAAGCUAAAGAAGGAAGACAAUGAAAGACAUGACCCAACACUCAUGACUAUCUCAGGAUCAUAAUUUCGCUCUUAUGUUCAGCACACCAUUAUGAUUUUCAUUAAAUAUUCAUUCCCCAACAGACUAUAAACAAUUCCUUGUUAAUAAAUGGCUGGAUUUGUUGACAUUAAUUUAAUACACCAGCAUUCCAUUUUACUCAAAAUAUUUUAGGAUCUCAGGUGCUAGAUGCAUUUGCGGAAGAAAUGUAAUUCAUAAGUAGUAUUUUAAGAAACAGCAUUGAAAUUACAUUCAAAAGACAGUUUAAAUGCCUUGAACUAAUUGCAGAAGAACCAGAGGGGGUCUGAAUAACAUUACAUAUGUAAGACCACAGAGUAAAGACUACAUUUUUUAAGUUUAAUAGAUAGCCAAAAUAUAACAGAAUUAGCAAUGUUUUUGAAGGGAAAUUGAACGGAAAGUAGAUGCUUUGCAUGCCAAGGAUCUGCAAUUCAAUUGUUGUCAGCUCUCAAUGACAUGGGUCUGAAAUCAUAGACAGUACCUGCCACUUGGUAUCAGCAAUACUAAACUUAAUACUGAAUGAUCUGAUUCAAUAAGCCAACCACUUCAGGUCUUCUUAAAGGAACAGCUUCCUGUGAUAAUUCUAGUGUUUCCUACUUACACUUUUCCAAUGUAGGAGAAUGUUUCUAAAUUGUUGAUAUAAGAAAACAACUUUAUUUGUUUCCAUUUUGUGCAUAAUAGAUAUGUGGACUGAUACACAAUAAAAUAUCCAUGAAAUCUAUUAACAUUUUUAAAAAUAAAAAUAAAAAACAGAGCUGCUAAAACCAUACAAUAAAAUGUGAGAAUAGCAUUUAAAUUAGAAAGCAAAUUGUACAAUAUUAAAAGCAUGUGGAUAUAUAGCAGAAUUUAUCACUUGUCAAAAUGAAAACAAAUAGCACAGCACUCUGAAAAAGAUAAUGUAUUGUUGGAAUGCUACUUCUCAAUGGAACUGUUUGUGGCACUGAUUAUUCAAAUUUUCUUACUGGUCAAAUAUACACCAUACAAUUAAUUAUUAUAUAGGGGUUUAUAUGAUAUAAGUACUUUGAAUAUCCUGAUCCCAAGAAUUAGCAAAGUGAAAACUGGCACCUUGAAUUGUUUCAGGAAGUGUCAACCUGGUUCAAUUCUCCUUCUCCUUUGCCUUUUCCCAGAAAUGCAGAGUCUUUUGGGGGGGGGGGAAAUCAAUGAAUGCCAUUUCAGAGUCCUGCCACGACAAUAUAUGUGGCUGUUAAUCCAUUGAUUGUGACAGGAAUUGACAGGCUUGUUGCAGGAGUCUGAUGGCGGUUUGUCUAUGUUCAACUCAGCAUCAUGUUUAUGGGAGAGCAGUUUCCAGCAGCACCAAUGAGAAGGAACGGACGUCAUCACCAACCUUAUUCCAUGACUGAUAUAUGGUAAUUUACAAAGCAUACGCUUCACAAAACUCUAGCUAUUGUAUCUUUCUCUACCUGGAUUUCCUGAAUACUUUUCAGGAAUAUGUAUUGUAUUUUCAAAUGUUAUGUAUACUCUGA